GACGAACGCUGGCGGCGUGCCUAAUACAUGCAAGUAGAACGCUGAAGAGAGGAGCUUGCUCUUCUUGGAAGAGUUGCGAACGGGUGAGUAACGCGUAGGUAACCUGCCUUGUAGCGGGGGAUAACUAUUGGAAACGAUAGCUAAUACCGCAUAACAAUGGAUGACACAUGUCAUUUAUUUGAAAGGGGCAACUGCUCCACUACAAGAUGGACCUGCGUUGUAUUAGCUAGUAGGUGAGGUAACGGCUCACCUAGGCGACGAUACAUAGCCGACCUGAGAGGGUGAUCGGCCACACUGGGACUGAGACACGGCCCAGACUCCUACGGGAGGCAGCAGUAGGGAAUCUUCGGCAAUGGGGGCAACCCUGACCGAGCAACGCCGCGUGAGUGAAGAAGGUUUUCGGAUCGUAAAGCUCUGUUGUAAGUCAAGAACGAGUGUGAGAGUGGAAAGUUCACACUGUGACGGUAGCUUACCAGAAAGGGACGGCUAACUACGUGCCAGCAGCCGCGGUAAUACGUAGGUCCCGAGCGUUGUCCGGAUUUAUUGGGCUUAAAGCGAGCGCAGGCGGUUUGAUAAGUCUGAAGUUAAAGGCUGUGGCUCAACCAUAGUUCGCUUUGGAAACUGUCAAACUUGAGUGCAGAAGGGGAGAGUGGAAUUCCAUGUGUAGCGGUGAAAUGCGUAGAUAUAUGGAGGAACACCGGUGGCGGAAGCGGCUCUCUGGUCUGUAACUGACGCUGAGGCUCGAAAGCGUGGGGAGCGAACAGG
rnacentral:rRNA from 1 species